AUGUACAUCCCUACAUUGUUAAUGCACUAGAUCCCAUUAGAAAUAUGUAGUUAAACAUGCUUGGUCUAGACUAGUAUUGGGAUGUGUGACCUCCUGGAAAGUCCUAGUGUUUUACAUG
rfam:Picea glauca, whole genome shotgun sequence.